rnacentral:tRNA from 1 species
GGCCUAACACAGGCCCUUAAAACA